UACAGAGGUCUCAAGCGUUGUUCGGAUUCAUUGGGCGUAAAGGGCGCGUAGGCGGCCUUCUAAGUCGAACGUGAAAUCCCCGGGCUCAACCCGGGAACUGCGUCCGAUACUGGAAGGCUUGAAUCCGGGAGAGGGAUGCGGAAUUCCAGGUGUAGCGGUGAAAUGCGUAGAUAUCUGGAGGAACACCGGUGGCGAAGGCGGCAUCCUGGACCGGCAUUGACGCUGAGGCGCGAAAGCCAGGGGAGCAAACGGG
rnacentral:rRNA from 1 species